UAUGAACUCUGGUCUGUGUAUCACAGUCAUU
rnacentral:piRNA from 1 species